rnacentral:rRNA from 1 species
UUAACAACAGUAGAGCUUUUUAUAAAGAAACCAUGCCUUAUUUAUAGUAUAAACGUAAUUGUGUUAUACCACAAUGGCACUAAAAAGGGGUCAUAGCUAAACAGCUCAGCAGUAAGGAGUUAUUGACAAUACAUGUAAAGUGUGAUCGUGAUAUUUAACAAAAAAGGGUGUAUAGGAAAAAGACUCGGGGGUUUUCCUAUGUUUUUCCCAUUAUAAAUAAGUAUAAUCAGAUUAUACUUAUUUAUAAUGGGAAAAACAUAGGACGGCCCCUGCCCAUAGUAUGGGCAGGGGCCCUUCAACCCCCAACCCUUUAAUGCAAAGCAUCGGUAAAUUAUGUGCCAGCAACCGCGGUAAUACAUAUGAUGCAAGUUUAUUAGAUAGGGAAUAGGUGUUAUCAAAUAAAGACGUACUAGUGUUAUAUAUAGUAUAAAAAAAUAUACGUAUAAUAGAUAUAAGGUUAAUAUAGAUUGUAACAGUUAAAUGUGUUUAUUGUCUAUGGAAAGCUAGUGGUGUAGACGCCUUAUAAUUAGACACUGUUAAAAGUCAUAGUUUGGAAGUCCGAGUAGCGAAAUGGAUUAGAGACCCAUGUAGUUCGGACCGUAAAAAGUUUAGUAAACUAAGAAACCUGGUGAUACGUCUGAAAAGAUGGUAAUCAUAGAAAUUGGCAGUCAUAAUAUUUAAUAGUAUUAACACAACCGCCGUGGAGCGUGCAGUUUAAUUCGUAAAUACACGAAAAAUCUUACCACAAG